rnacentral:ncRNA from 2 species
GAAAACUACUAGGGGCGCCUGUUUGGCUGAGAAGAACCCUUUGCACCUGAUCUAGGUAAUACUAGCGUAGGAAAGUAGUGUCGAUCCCUU